rnacentral:rRNA from 1 species
GACGAAGGGGGCUAGCGUUGUUCGGAAUUACUGGGCGUAAAGCGCGUGUAGGCGGUUGCCCAAGUCGGGUGUGAAAGCCUUGAGCUCAACUCAAGAAAUGCACUCGGUACUGGGUGACUAGAGGACCGGAGAGGAUAGUGGAAUUCCCAGUGUAGUGGUGAAAUACGUAGAGAUUGGGAAGAACACCAGUGGCGAAGGCGGCUAUCGUGGACGGUUCUUGACGCUAGACGGCGAAAGCGUGGGAAGCAAGCUAGGGAGUAAAGCAAACCGGAUGAUGAACCG